rnacentral:rRNA from 1 species
UACGGGGGGAGCAAGCGUUGUUCGGAUUUACUGGGCGUAAAGGGCGCGUAGGCGGCCACCGCAAGUCGGUUGUGAAAUCUCUGGGCUUAACCCAGAAAGGUCAACCGAUACUGCGGGGCUAGAGUGCAGAAGGGGCAACUGGAAUUCUCGGUGUAGCGGUGAAAUGCGUAGAUAUCGGGAGGAACACCUGUGGCGAAAGCGGCGCACUGGACCAUAACUGACGCUGAUGCGCGAAAGCUAGGGGAGCAAACAGG